ACUCAAAGGAAUUGACGGGGGCCCGCACAAGCGGUGGAUCAUGUGGUUUAAUUCGAAGCAACGCGAAGAACCUUACCUGGGCUUGACAUGCCGUUGAAAGCUCUAGAGAUAGAGUCGACUCGCAAGAGACAGCGGACACAGGUGCUGCAUGGCUGUCGUCAGCUCGUGUUGUGAAAUGUUGGGUUAAGUCCCGCAACGAGCGCAACCCCUGUGCUUGGUUGCCAACAUAUAAGGUGGGCACUCCAAGCAGACUGCCGUCGUCAAGACGGAGGAAGGUGGGGAUGACGUCAAGUCCUCAUGGCCUUUAUGUCCAGGGCGACACACGUGAUACAAUGGUCGGUAUAGAGGGUAGCCAAGCGGUGACGCGGAGCCAAUCCCAAAAAGCCGAUCUCAGUUCGGAUUGAAGUCUGCAACUCGACUUCAUGAAGUUGGAAUCGCUAGUAAUCGCGGAUCAGAACGCCGCGGUGAAUACGUUCCCGGGCCUUGCACACACCGCCCGU
rnacentral:rRNA from 1 species